rnacentral:rRNA from 1 species
CAGUCGCCGCGGGAAUACGUAGGGUGCAAGCGUUAAUCGGAAUUACUGGGCGUAAAGCGUGCGCAGGCGGUUCUAUAAGACAGAUGUGAAAUCCCCGGGCUCAACCUGGGAACUGCAUUUGUGACUGUAGAGCUGGAGUGCGGCAGAGGGGGAUGGAAUUUCUGGUGGAGCGGUGAAAUGCGUUGAGAUCGGAAAGAACACCAACGGCGAAAGCACUCUGUUGGGCCGACACUGACACUGAGAGACGAAAGCUAGGGGAGCAAAUGGGAUUAGAUACCCCUGUAGUCCCUGUCUCUUAUAC